AGUGAACGCUGGCGGUAGGCCUAACACAUGCGAGUCGAACGGCAGCACAGUAAGAGCUUGCUCUUACGGGUGGCGAGUGGCGGACGGGUGAGGAAUACAUCGGAAUCUACUUUUUCGUGGGGGAUAACGUAGGGAACCUUACGCUAAUACCGCAUACGACCUACGGGUGAAAGCAGGGGAUCUUCGGACCUUGCGCGAUUGAAUGAGCCGAUGUCGGAUUAGCUAGUUGGCGGGGUAAAGGCCCACCAAGGCGACGAUCCGUAGCUGGUCUGAGAGGAUGAUCAGCCACACUGGAACUGAGACACGGCCCAGACUCCUACGGGAGGCAGCAGUGGGGAAUAUUGGACAAUGGGCGCAAGCCUGAUCCAGCCAUACCGCGUGGGUGAAGAAGGCCUUCGGGUUGUAAAGCCCUUUUGUUGGGAAAGAAAAGCAGCAGGUUAAUACCCCGCUGUUCUGACGGUACCCAAAGAAUAAGCACCGGCUAACUUCGUG
rnacentral:rRNA from 1 species